rnacentral:rRNA from 1 species
UGCAGAAUCCCGUGAACCAUCGAGUCUUUGAACGCAAGUUGCGCCCGAAGCCGCUAGGCCGAGGGCACGCCUGCCUGGGCGCCA